CAGUAUCACUUGUAGGCUUUGUGUGUGUGUGUAGGGGGGACUAGCUGGGAUGAAUUCAAUUCUAUUCAGUUCAACAAACGUUUACUAGCACUUCUUCUGUUGUGGAAGCACCUGGAAAUCUGAAAUCAGGAUGGGAAAAUUUACGAUUGAGAAUAUCCAGUAUUGCAGAGAAUAUGAGGGAAGAGGUACUCCAAUAUCCUGUUGAUGAUGUUAUGAAUGGCUACCCCGUUUCUGGAUCUAAUUUAACAGCAACUACCAAUACUUUUUAAGUACAUAUCUUUUAAUACAGAAUUUGCCUGCUAGAAACCCCAUAAAAAAUAUGUACGAUGUUCACAGCAACAUUGGUAAGAUGGAAAUAAUCAAAUAUCCCUUAAUAUGAAAUAUUAAAAUCAGUAGCAAAUGUCAUAAAAGGUAUUACCUGAA